rnacentral:rRNA from 1 species
UACGGGGGGUGCGAGCGUUGUCCGGAAUCACUGGGCGUAAAGGGCGCGUAGGUGGUCUGUUAAGGGUGUGGUGAAAGCCCGGGGCUCAACCCCGGGUCGGCCGUGCCGACUGUUAGACUAGAGUACUGUAGGGGCAGGCGGAAUUCCGGGUGUAGCGGUGGAAUGCGUAGAGAUCCGGAGGAAGACCGGUGGCGAAGGCGGCCUGCUGGGCAGUUACUGGCACUGAGGAGCGACAGCGUGGGGAGCAAACAGG